GAUUGGUUGGCAGGUUGAAAACACCGGUGGCUCUGAUUGGCUCAGCCGCUCACUGAUUAGACAAACGCUCGAGGGCUUAAUUCCAACAUGGCGGCUACACCUGCGUUUUUUUAGCCAAACCAAAGUGAAAAGUGAAAAGUGGACAUUUUCUGCCGCAUGUCUCCACACACAAACAUAAAAGAAGAUGAUGACGAUGCCUAACACAGAUGAUCUGCACUGGUUAUGACAAGCUGUGAAAAGAAACACUGACCACUAACAAGUACUGGGAAAAUAAGGUAUGUGAGCCAAACACUAUUGUUGCUGUAAACGACUUCAAAACUAAAUUUUACUUUACUGUUUAGUUUUAUUUUCUUAAAAGGUCCAAACUGUCUUAAAACAUGCUAAAAGGGCUUGGCUUUGCCAAGCCAUGGCGAAGCAACAAGGGCUCCCCCUGGACUUUCAAAUGUCUGCUUCUAUUAUUUAACUGGACAUAUAAAAAAAAAAAAUAAAAA